rnacentral:rRNA from 1 species
UGGGGGAAUAUUGCACAAUGGGGGAAACCCGUGAUGCAGCGACGCCGCGUGAACGAAGAAGUAUUUCGGUAUGUAAAGUUCUAUCAGCAGGGAAGAUAAUGACGGUACCUGACGAAGAAGCACCGGCUAACUCCGUGCCAGCAGCCGCGGUAAUACGGAGGGUGCAAGCGUUAAUCGGAAUAACUGGGCGUAAAGGGCAUGCAGGCGGUUAUACAAGUAGGAUGUGAAAGCCUGGGGCUCAACCUCAGAACUGCAUUCUAAACUGUGUGACUAGAGUAUUGCAGGGGGAGACGGAAUUUCAGGUGUAGCGGUGGAAUGCGUAGAUAUCUGAAAGAACACCAAAGGCGAAGGCAGUCUCCUGGGCAAAUACUGACGCUCAUAUGCGAAAGCGUGGGUAGCAAACAGGAUUAGAUACCCUGGUAGU